rnacentral:piRNA from 1 species
UAACUCUUGUGCCUCGUUUUU